CAGCCGUGAGGAAGAAACACCUGUGCUUGAGGCAUUAAAAUGUCUGUGACGGCUACACAAACCUCUAAGAAGUUCUGAGCUG